rnacentral:rRNA from 1 species
ACUCCUGCGGGAGGCAGCAGUGGGGAAUAUUGGACAAUGGGCGCAAGCCUGAUCCAGCCAUGCCGCGUGAGUGAUGAAGGCCCAAGGGUUGUAAAGCUCUUUCACCGGUGAAGAUAAUGACGGUAACCGGAGAAGAAGCCCCGGCUAACUUCGUGCCAGCAGCCGCGGUAAUACGAAGGGGGCUAGCGUUGUUCGGAUUUACUGGGCGUAAAGCGCACGUAGGCGGACUAUUAAGUCAGGGGUGAAAUCCCGGGGCUCAACCCCGGAACUGCCUUUGAUACUGGUAGUCUUGAGUUCGAGAGAGGUGAGUGGAAUUCCGAGUGUAGAGGUGAAAUUCGUAGAUAUUCGGAGGAACACCAGUGGCGAAGGCGGCUCACUGGCUCGAUACUGACGCUGAGGUGCGAAAGCGUGGGGAGCAAACAGGAUUAGAAACCCGUGUAGUCCCAUGA